GCCCGGGUGGCGGAAUUGGUAGACGCGCCGGAUUCAAAAUCCGGUGAUGGCAACAUUGUAGGGGUUCGAGUCCCCUCCCGGGUA
rnacentral:tRNA from 1 species